CCUACGGGUGGCAGCAGUGGGGAAUAUUGCACAAUGGGCGAAAGCCUGAUGCAGCGACGCCGCGUGAGUGAAGAAGUAUUUCGGUAUGUAAAGCUCUAUCAGCAGGGAAGAAAAUGACGGUACCUGACUAAGAAGCCCCGGCUAACUACGUGCCAGCAGCCGCGGUACUACGUAGGGGGCAAGCGUGAUCCGGAUUUACGGGGUGUAAAGGGAGCGUAGCCGGCGAAGCACGUCUGAAGUGAAUACCCAGGGGUCAACCCUGGGACUGCGUUGGAAACUGUUUUGCUAGAGUGUCGGAGAGGUCAGUGGAAUUCCUAGUGUAGCGGUGAAAUGCGUCGAUAUUAGGAGGAACACCAGUGGCGAAGGCGGCUUACUGGACGAUACCUGACGUUGCGGCUCGAAAGCGUGGGGAGCAAACAGGAUUAGAUACCCGGGUAGUC
rnacentral:rRNA from 1 species